UUCCUGACGAACGUUCCCACUCUGAGCGCUCAGUGAAUGCUUCUAGAAUAACUGAACCACACAUCUAAUAAAGGAGUUUCAGUGAAUAUUAGCGACGGCACUAAGAAGAAGACAAGAUGCCUGUGCCGGGGGCUGUCCGCUCCCUUUCGUCUUCCACCCGCUGGAACCUUCUGGCAAGAAGGGGAGAAGAAUGACAAGAGCAAAUUUGCAACACUGAUUUUGAAAGUCCAAGUUACUUCUUACCUGCCUUAAUCCUUGCUGGAGAAAACAGCUGAGCCCUGAGAAGUGAUGCUGUGUUGCAUGAACUGUAUUUCUCCUGGAAAUGCUUUAAGAUCUUCAAGGAGGCCAGACCACAGCACAACAGACAUCUGGAGGAGAAAUGCCCAUUUCCAUUCAAGCAUUGUUAUCCUGGGAAGCACAUAAGAGGCUUAAGCUUCAUGCCUUGAUGCAACGAGGCAGGACGGGUUGGGAGCCGGCAGAAGACAUAGCACCGUGUCAUUUCUGUGUCUAGAAGGAAAGGAUAUUUGCACUGCCAGGUGGACUGUUAAAGCUGAACUCUCAGGAGCAAGAGACUAGCCCCAGUGAGCUAGUCAGGCUUUCCUGUACCCCAGCGGAC
rnacentral:lncRNA from 1 species